UUAGCAAAAGCCAAAAACAAUAGGCAAAUUACUGUUAAUAAUUAUUUGGAUUUAAUCUCCUUGCUAAG
rnacentral:tRNA from 1 species